GAUGAACGCUGGCGGCGUGCCUAAUACAUGCAAGUCGAACGAGUGGCGGACGGGUGAGUAAUGUCUGGGAAACUGCCUGAUGGAGGGGGAUAACUACUGGAAACGGUAGCUAAUACCGCAUACCAUCGGAUGUGCCCAGAUGGGAUUAGCUAGGAGGUGGGGUAACGGCUCACCUAGGCGACGCUCCCUAGCUGGUAUGAGAGGCUGACCAGCCACACUGGAACUGGGACACGGUCCAGCGUCCUAGGGGAGGCAGCAGUGGGGAAUAUUGCACAAUGGGGGCAAGCCUGAUGCAGCCAGGCCGCGUGUAUGAAGAAGGCCUUCGGGUUGUAAAGUACUUUCAGCGGGGAGGCGUUACCCGCAGAAGAAGCACCGGCUAACUCAGUGCCAGCCGCCGCGGUAAUUC
rnacentral:rRNA from 1 species